UACGAAGGGGGCUAGCGUUGUUCGGAAUUACUGGGCGUAAAGCGCACGUAGGUGGUUUGCUAAGUCAGCUGUGAAAUCCCCGGGCUCAACCUGGGCACUGCAGUUGAAACUGGUAAGCUAGAGUAGGGUAGAGGGGUGUGGAAUUCCAGGUGUAGCGGUGAAAUGCGUAGAUAUCUGGAGGAACAUCAGUGGCGAAGGCGACACCCUGGACUCAUACUGACACUGAGGUGCGAAAGCGUGGGGAGCAAACAGG
rnacentral:rRNA from 1 species